rnacentral:rRNA from 1 species
ACUCCUACGGGAGGCAGCAGUGGGGAAUAUUGCACAAUGGGGGAAACCCUGAUGCAGCCAUGCCGCGUGUGUGAAGAAGGCCUUCGGGUUGUAAAGCACUUUCAGUAGGGAGGAAGGUAGUGUAGUUAACACCUGCAUUAUUUGACGUUACCUACAGAAGAAGCACCGGCUAACUCCGUGCCAGCAGCCGCGGUAAUACGGAGGGUGCGAGCGUUAAUCGGAAUUACUGGGCGUAAAGCGCAUGCAGGCGGCCUGUUAAGUCAGAUGUGAAAGCCCGGGGCUUAACCUCGGAAUUGCAUUUGAAACUGGCAGGCUAGAGUCUUGUAGAGGGGGGUAGAAUUUCAGGUGUAGCGGUGAAAUGCGUAGAGAUCUGAAGGAAUACCAGUGGCGAAGGCGGCCCCCUGGACAAAGACUGACGCUCAGAUGCGAAAGCGUGGGGAGCAAACAGGAUUAGAUACCCUGGGAGCACAGAG